UACGAGGGGUGCAAGCGUUGCUCGGAAUUAUUGGGCGUAAAGGGCAAGUAGGUGGUCUCAUUUGUCUGGGGUGAAAGCCUUGAGCUUAACUCAAGAAGUGCCCCGGAAACGGUGAGACUCGAGUAUUGGAGAGGGUCGUGGAAUUCCCGGUGUAGCGGUGAAAUGCGUAGAGAUCGGGAGGAACACCAGAGGCGAAGGCGGCGACCUGGACAACUUACUGACACUCAACUGCGAAAGCGUGGGGAGCAAACAGG
rnacentral:rRNA from 1 species